rnacentral:rRNA from 1 species
UACGAAGGGGGGCUAGCGUUGUUCGGAAUUACUGGGCGUAAAGCGCACGUAGGCGGGUUGUUAAGUCAGGGGGUGAAAUCCUGGAGCUCAACUCCAGAACUGCCUUUGAUACUGGCAACCUAGAGACUGGAAGAGGUUAGUGGAAUUCCCAGUGUAGAGGUGAAAUUCGUAGAUAUUGGGAAGAACACCAGUGGCGAAGGCGGCUAACUGGUCCAGCACUGACGCUGAGGUGCGAAAGCGUGGGGAGCAAACAGG